UACGAAGGGUGCAAGCGUUAAUCGGAAUUACUGGGCGUAAAGCGUGCGCAGGCGGUUUUGUAAGUCUGUCGUGAAAGCCCCGGGCUCAACCUGGGAAUUGCGAUGGAGACUGCAAGGCUUGAAUCUGGCAGAGGGGGGUAGAAUUCCACGUGUAGCAGUGAAAUGCGUAGAGAUAUGGAGGAACACCGAUGGCGAAGGCAGCCCCCUGGGUCAAGAUUGACGCUUAUGCACGAAAGCGUGGGGAGCAAACAGG
rnacentral:rRNA from 1 species